AGAGAAUAAAAAAAUAUUGAAGAAUCGCGAGAGAAACUCCCCAAAAUCCACUGGGAUCACAUCGAAAAGUGCAAAUAAAAAUUGCCAAAAAAUGAGAAACAUUCCGUCGCCAUUUGCAAUUUUUGUCGCUCAAAAUGUUUCAAAACAUUCUCUGUCACUUUUGUUGCGCUUAUGGCGCUGAGUUUUUUUUUCAUAAAAUCAAUAAAAAUUGCCGAUUUUGGUGAUAAAUGUUUAUUGUUUCCGUGUGGGAGUGAUUUUUAAGGAUUUGUAGGCAUCUCAAUCAGGUACAUCGUGCUGGAUGAGCCCCAAUUUGGCGCUGGAUCUGUGAACCUUCCUCAGCUGCUUCACUAGAAUCCUCUUUUCGCUGGUGCUGCAUUCACGAUCUUCUCCACAAGGCGUCGUGAGACUUAAAACUGUGCUGGCGGAAAAAGUACAAAAAUACAUAACCUCAAUUUUGAAAUGACUGAAAUGAAUUGGACGAUUUCCAUUGUGCUCUACCAGCAUUGCCUUACCGUCAAUGAGAAUGCCAUUUGAGGAUCAUCAGACAGUACCCAACACUUACAGAUUUCUACGAUGAUGCGUGUGAACAACUCAAACAUACCAACUUUAUGGACUUCAGGGUGGACAAAAAGAAUCAAGAGGGGCGUAGUGUACUUGGCAGAUAUUCUCGAGAAGCGUAUGGACGGGGAAGGAGACCCUCUACCAGUGACGAAGAUUCAUAGACUCUGCCUCGAUAUUGCCUCCGCUCUAUAUUUCCACUUCCAGAAAGUCUGAAUCUUCCCGAUGAGUACCUACAAUCUGUACAUAGGGCUCUCCUAUGCAUGUAUUUACGAGAUUCCGGAAGAUUGCUCCACAAGCCAGAGAAUUAAGACUAUGUUCACACAUUUUUUAUUUACAACUUUUAUUUAUUUCCAACUAAAAUAAAGUUAUUUACGGGA